GUUGCUUUUUACUCUUUUAUGGUGAAGAAUAUUACUUAUAUUUAUAGCAUCAAUACCCUUGUUUGUGAACUUCAAAUUGAAGAAUGAACGUUUUUUUCAAUUCCUCCGAAUGUUCAAAAACGGGUCUGAAUAAUCUAUGGUUAGCAAUAUCCAUUACCAUGGCAACUAUUUUAAUGUUUUAAAGGCUGUCAAUAAUGCUUUGUUGAUAUUUAAACUUGUGUGUGGUAUAUGUUAAUACCUGCUAUAUUGAAAGUUCGAUAUUCUACCUUUUUUCUAGAGACUUUCUUGUUAUUGCUUACAUUACUUAAGGAUGUACUCAGGUCGGGUGUAGGAAUUUGUGUCAGAUUUUUAUUUUUUCAUACGAUACAGGGUAAAAUAUAUUGCACCAUAACAUCCAUUUUUCUUUUAAUAUAAGACUUAAAUAGCUCAUAAAAGGUCAUUUAACAAAAUUUAAGCAUAUUAUAGAUUUCUUUUCUUUCGAUUUGAGGCCCAAAUGAUACCAAUGCAAGUAUAAGGUAAAAGUCUGAGUCAGCUUUUUCCUUCCAUUUCUAUAUACAUGUAAUUCGAAAAGGAGCCCCAAAACCAAUCAAUAUUUUUAGCUUAGUUUGUAUCUUAACUAAUGCUCUUCUGACUUAUAGUAUCAAUUUUAAAUUCCAUAUUUGUUUUUUGAUUUCACCAAAGUACAUCUUUAACCUAUUGAAGAUAUAUGUAUUUAAAUCCGUUGUAAAUACUAAUAUUAGUCCGUUUUAUUUACAAAAUACAAAUAUUAUGACAAGGUAUUUCAUAGUCAUUGCCUCUAUUGUUAAAGUAAUAUGAACUUCAAAUAAAAAAAAAUAUAAUGCAUAUGUUUUUUAUCACUAAAUGUCUAGUUUUUAUAGUAAAACUUAUGUACACUAACUUUUUUCUGAAGAAUAUUCUAUAAUUUGUCCAAAUUUAAACACUUUUUAAAAUUUCAAAAUGUAUGGCCGGACAUUUUUAUUGCAAAUGGUGCCCUCAAUUUGGUGCCUUUAGUGUUAUCAGUUGAACAAACAUCAGUGCAAGUCAUUAUAAGG
rnacentral:lncRNA from 1 species